rnacentral:snRNA from 1 species
GUGCUUGCUUUAGCAGCACAUAUACUAAAAUUGGAAAGAUACAAAGAAGAUUAGCAUGGCCCCUGUGCAAGGAUGACACACAAAUUCAUGAAGCGUUCCCUAUUUUA